rnacentral:tRNA from 1 species
UGAGGAUUGGCGAAGUGGGAACGCAGGCGGCUUUGACCCGUUUAUGAGUUGGUUCGAUUCCAACAUCCUCUGCCA